UCCUACGGGAGGCAGCAGUGGGGAAUAUUGGACAAUGGGCGCAAGCCUGAUCCAGCCAUGCCGCGUGAGUGAUGAAGGCCCUAGGGUUGUAAAGCUCUUUCACCGGAGAAGAUAAUGACGGUAUCCGGAGAAGAAGCCCCGGCUAACUUCGUGCCAGCAGCCGCGGUAAUACGAAGGGGGCUAGCGUUGUUCGGAAUUACUGGGCGUAAAGCGCACGUAGGCGGAUCGAUCAGUCAGGGGUGAAAUCCCAGGGCUCAACCCUGGAACUGCCUUUGAUACUGUCGAUCUGGAGUAUGGAAGAGGUGAGUGGAAUUCCGAGUGUAGAGGUGAAAUUCGUAGAUAUUCGGAGGA
rnacentral:rRNA from 1 species